UACGUAGGUGACAAGCGUUGUCCGGAUUUACUGGGCGUAAAGAGCGCGCAGGCGGUCGUUCAAGUCGAGUGUGAAAGCCCCCGGCUCAACUGGGGAGGGUCAUUCGAUACUGAUCGACUCGAAGGCAGGAGGGGGUAGUGGAAUUCCCGGUGUAGUGGUGAAAUGCGUAGAUAUCGGGAGGAACACCAGUGGCGAAGGCGACUACCUGGCCUGUUCUUGACGCUGAGGCGCGAAAGCUAGGGGAGCAAACGGG
rnacentral:rRNA from 1 species